GCAUAUCAAUAAGCGGAGGAAAAGAAACCAACAGGGAUUACCUCAGUAACGGCGAAGUGAAGCGGUAACAGCUCAAAUUUGAAAUCUGGCAGCAAUGUCCGAAGUUGUAAUUUGUAGAGGAUGUUUCGAGCAUGGUCUGGCCUAAGUUCCUUGGAACAGGACGUCAUAGAGGGUGAGAAUCCCGUAUGCGGUCAGGUGCCUACGCUCAUGUGAAACUCCUUCGACGAGUCGAGUUGUUUGGGAAUGCAGCUCAAAAUGGGUGGUAAAUUUCAUCUAAAGCUAAAUAUUGGCCAGAGACCGAUAGCGCACAAGUAGAGUGAUCGAAAGAUGAAAAGCACUUUGGAAAGAGAGUUAAACAGUACGUGAAAUUGUUGAAAGGGAAGCGCUUGCAACCAGACUUGCACGCAGCUGAUCAUCCGCUGUUCUCAGUGGUGCACUCGGUUGCGUUCAGGCCAGCAUCGGUUUUGGUGGUGGGAUAAAGGCCUUAGGAAUGUAGCUGCUUUCGGGCAGUGUUAUAGCCUAGGGUGCAAUGCCGCCUACUGGGACCGAGGACCGCGCUUCGGCUAGGAUGCUGGCGUAAUGGUUGUAAGCGACCCGUCUUGAAACACGGACCAAGGAGUCUAACAUCUAUGCGAGUGUUUGGGUGUCAAACCCAUACGCGUAAUGAAAGUGAACGGAGGUCAGAACCCUUAAGGGUGCAUGAUCGACCGGUCCUGAAGUCUUCGGAUGGAUCUGAGUAAGAGCAUAGCUGUUGGGACCCGAAAGAUGGUGAACUAUGCCUGAAUAGGGUGAAGCCAGAGGAAACUCUGGUGGAGGCUCGCAGCGGUUCUGACGUGCAAAUCGAUCGUCAAAUUUGGGUAUAGGGGGCGAAAGACUAAUCGAACCAUCUAGUAGCUGGUUCUGCG
rnacentral:rRNA from 1 species